rnacentral:rRNA from 1 species
CAGUAGCCGCGGUAAUACGUAGGUGGCAAGCGUUGUCCGGAAUUAUUGGGCGUAAAGGGCUCGCAGGCGGUUUCUUAAGUCUGAUGUGAAAGCCCCCGGCUCAACCGGGGAGGGUCAUUGGAAACUGGGAAACUUGAGUGCAGAAGAGGAGAGUGGAAUUCCACGUGUAGCGGUGAAAUGCGUAGAGAUGUGGAGGAACACCAGUGGCGAAGGCGACUCCCUGGUCUGUAACUGACGCUGAGGAGCGAAAGCGUGGGGAGCGAACAGGAUUAGAGACCCGAGUAGUCCCUGUCUCUUAUAA